rnacentral:rRNA from 1 species
GAAUUCGAUUAACGCGAAGAACCUUACCCAGGCUUGAACUGCAGGUGACAUCCUACGAAAGUAGGCUUCCGCAAGGACACCUGUAGAGGUGCUGCAUGGCUGUCGUCAGCUCGUGUCGUGAGAUGUUGGGUUAAGUCCCGCAACGAGCGCAACCCUUGUCUUCUGUUGCCAUCGGGUUAUGCCGGGCACUCUGAAGAGACUGCCGGUGACAAACCGGAGGAAGGUGGGGAUGACGUCAAGUCAGCAUGGCCUUUAUGUCUGGGGCCACACACGUGCUACAAUGGCCGGUACAAACCGUCGCGAUCUCGCGAGAGGGAGCUAAUCGGAGAAAGCCGGUCUCAGUUUGGAUUGUAGGCUGCAACUCGCCUGCAUGAAGUUGGAAUCGCUAGUAAUCGCGGAUCAGCACGCCGCGGUGAAUACGUUCCCGGGCCUUGUCACACCGAAUCACUA